GGGGAGCUGCAGACUGUGGAUCUGAGGGGAACCGGGCUGAGGAGAGCUCCAGCCGGUGCAUCUGAGGGGAACCGGGCUGAAGGGAGCUGCAGACUGUGGAUCUGAGGGGAACCGGGCUGAAGGGAGCUCCAGCCGGUGCUGAGGGGAACCGGGCUGAGGGGAGCUGCAGGCUGUGAUCUGAGGGGAACCGGGCUGAGGAGAGGUCCAGCCGGUGCAUGGAAGACAGCCGGUCUUACGGGAGCUCUGGCCGGUGGAUCUGACGGGAGCCGGUGGACCUGAGGGGACCGGCAGGUCUGAGCGGAGCCGUCGCCCCAGCCGGCGGCAGGCGGAGCAGCGGCCGGGGCGGGGGCGCCCCGCCCCUGCAUUAUUUUUUGGGUUUUACCCCCCCGGCUCUUCUCUGUUCUUCUUUUUUUUUUUUUCUUUUUUUUUCCUUUUUUUUUUUUUUCUUUUCCCACCACCCCCCUAAAACCGAAAUUAAUCCCAACAAGGGCAGGCAGGGAGCGCGGAGCCGCGCGGCGCGGGCAUGGCCGGCGCCCGGGCCGGGGAGUCCCCGGAGGGGCGCGGGGGCUGCCCGCCCGCCGGGCGCGGGGCUCCUGCGCCCGCCCUCCCCCGCCUGCCUCCCGCCUAACCCGCCAUCGCUCCCCCCCUUCCCCCGCCGAGGCGAAGCUGGAGCCGCAGGAGAUCCGCCGGGCACAGGGAGGGGACAGCGAUGGGUUGUUUUCUCUCCCCCGCCCGCCCCGAGAGCUGAGGAGAUGCAGCCCAAGUUCGCCGCGAUGACUCUGCUGCUGGCACCGGGGUUUCUCCGCGGCGUCGCAGCCUCCGGACCGCCUGAAUCCUGCUCCCUCUGAAUCGUCGGCGCCGGGUUAAAGCUCAGUUCUCAUGUUGUGGUUGCUGGGCUGCCGCGCUCCCGUUUUGCGAUGGGAGGUGGAGGAAAAGGGAUUGUCCGUGAGUCAACACCGAAAACGUGAUUAGGAUGAACUGCUUUCACUAAUCUGUUUCUAACCUUACAGUCCAUGUUGGCCUGUGACCCCUCUCAGCUUUCACAUCCAGCCUGAUCAGACCACAACACUGGUCUCCCUAUGGAAGCAGCUGUUUGUAUCUGGCUUUGAGGUCCCAUGGAGAUGCUGAGGAGGGGGAUGGCUCUUCAUAUCCAUGAAGCCUGGAUACUUCUGUUUGUGCUGCCUGGUUUGGUCACUCCAGCUGCCAUCAAUCAUGAAGAUUACCCCGCUGAUGAAGGGGACCAGACCUCCAGUAAUGACAAUCUGAUCUUUGAUGAUUACCGGGGGAAGGGCUGUGUGGAUGACAGUGGCUUUGUGUACAAACUGGGAGAACGUUUUUUCCCAGGACAUUCCAACUGUCCCUGUGUCUGUACUGAGGAUGGACCUGUUUGUGAUCAACCAGAAUGCCCUAAAAUCCACCCAAAGUGCACAAAAGUGGAACACAAUGGAUGCUGUCCAGAAUGCAAAGAAGUGAAAAACUUUUGUGAAUAUCAUGGGAAAAAUUACAAAAUCUUGGAGGAAUUUAAGCCCUCGCCAUGCGAAUGGUGUCGCUGCGAGCCCAGCAAUGAAGUUCACUGUGUUGUAGCAGACUGCGCCGUCCCCGAGUGCGUCAACCCGGUCUAUGAGCCAGAGCAGUGUUGUCCUGUCUGCAAAAAUGGAUCUCCAAGUGGCCUGUCACUGUCAGGGUCCAGCUCGUGGUGCCACCACCUCCGUCCCUCCUGCCUCAGGUUCUGCAGCAGUUCUGUGAGAACAUCCCUCCACUCUGCCUGUGCCAGAGCCUUUCCAAGCCAAAAUUCCCAGUGAGGUCUGCGUGCUCCCUUGGCCAGGGCUGUAGAGGUGCCUGUGUGGUGUUCCUGGGCCCUUCUCUCCUCACCCUGUGCUCUUCAUUCCCAGACCUCUGCUUGUCCCAGCCCACCCACUGCUGUGGGGUGAGCCCUGGUAUUGGGGUGUGUGCUUUAACUCCCUUUCUGUGCAGCACUUGGAGGUGGCUCUUCCCAUUUCCUUCUACCCUUUGGAUGUGGCCUGGGAACUGUGCAGGAUGCUGGGAUGGGGUCAUCCCUGCUGCAUCACCCCUCACAUCACUUCAUCUGAUUUUAUCUGUGAUCCACAUGAAAUGGGCUCCUCUUCUUGGCCAGCUCCAAGCAACUCUCACCGCAGUGCACAAAGGGAGAAAUUCCCUGUGCUUCAUUUUGUUGAGGGAUAAACAAAACAAAUAUUAUAAAUUUUUGGGCUGGGGUCUGGUUUUGCCUCUAGUUUAAUUUUUGUUGUCACCAGUCCUCAACAAAAGAAUUUGUUACCCAACGAGCCAGAUAAAAGCUAACAUAUCCACAGUGAAAUAUUUCCUGGCAAGUGUGCUUACUCAGCCUGGGCUUCUGAAGACAUUUGUGAUGGAAUACUGGGCACCAGGAAGACAUUUUGUAGAUAAUCUGUCACUGAGUCUUUAAUUAAAGUUUUAAAUUAUCAGGAUUGAUACAGAUUUCCAAGUAAAGAGGCUGAUCCUGCCAUCCACACACAGGAAUUCCUGAAAUGGCCAGAUUUUAAGAUUGCACUUAAACCCCCUUCAGUCCCAGUCUAUGCAAUGUGCUGGCUGGCUGUGCAGAUGCAAGGGAAUGUGCCCAGCCAAGGAGAAGAAGUGCUCCCCACGCCGGAUUUUGCUGGACUCCACCGUCCUCUCCCCAGGUCCUGGCAGCUGAAGGCAGUAGCAUAGCGUGGCCAUGUCACCCUGCAUGGUUGGGAAUUGCUGAUGGCAGCCAACUUUUGGGGCACUUGGUCACCCCCACGGCCACCACCCCCUUCAGGUGUGAGCCCGAGGGGCCACGGGAAGGACUGGAUGAUGUUCUUGGUGAUGACCAGCAGGAGUGUGAACUGUGGUGCCCUUUUAGCACAAUUGAAGCAGUGAUUUGAUUACCAACAGAGGAAAGAAAGGAUUGAUUUGAAAGCUGGUAGAAGAUCAAGACUGAAAAUGAGGAGGUGUAUGUGGACCAGACAGACACCAACCUGACAAAAUACUCCAGUGCUUGCUUUACUGUUUCUUGAGAAGUCAUUUCCCUGGAACUGAUUUUCAGCGGAUCUGUCCAUCUGAUCACUUCAAGGGGUUAAAGGCAUGUAGAUGCUGAACUUGCUGGUGAGAAUUAGACAUGAAAGCAUCUGUCAAGAGCUAGAUCCUCCAUUGCUUUGGAAAUCUGCAGCACUUGGAUUAUCCAGAUGCUCAAAUGCCCUGCUGGUCACAGCUGUUGGAAGAGGCCUCUAUAACAGUGAAAAGCUUUGGAAAAGUUGAAACUUCCAAAAUUAGCCAUCCUGGUUAGACAGCAUCAGGGAGGGCUGAGUUGAAUCUGCCACCUUGUGAAGUUUCAGAGGAAGUGAGACUAAGAAUGAUGAGGAAGAGGAAAAGCCUUUGGAGAACAAAAAAGCCCUGAACUGAGCAGCACUUCAUGUGACUAAGCCCAUCCUAGAGCUCAGUGCUCACACAAAGCCGGGGUGCUGGGCUGAGCAGUGCCAGGGAUGCUGCUGGAAGAGCUCCAUUCCCAGGGAGCUGCAGCCUGGAGCCAGCGGGACAGCAGCCCCUGAACCUGGUGUGGUCACCUGCACGGGUCACCCGCUGCUUCCCAAGCCUCUGUGUUCUCUGCCUCUGCCCAGCAAGCAAGAAAGGGAUCAUGCACAAAUUAAAGAUGGCAGGAAAAGGCUCUGAAAGCUGCUACCCUGAAUGUGUACCCCAGGUCCUAACCAUGCCUCUGUGCUUCCAGCACAGCCGAGUUCAGAUGAGUGUCACAGGCACCCUCAAGAGAAGGGUCAGGGUCAUGAGGAGCCUUUUGUGGGACAGAACCAGCUCCAAAGCUCUCUUUCAGCAGACACUGCUCUCAGAGAUGUGGCAAACACGUUACCUGCUCUGCAUUACUCUUCAAACUCAGAAAUAUUUAUGAAGAAGCUUUUGCUCAUCCUGGUUGUUCCCCCCUGGGGAGAUGUUGCUGAAGUUUGUGUGCACUGGCCUGUGAGAGUGGUAGUUCAAGGCUCACUGUCAUCAUGAUCGUGUCUUGUAGAGCAGGGCUGGGCUAGGGGAUUUUUGGAGGGGAGGGAAGAGUUCCUAGAUUCCCACUGGGAAGCCAGGUUCCUUUGCAGGAGCCUGGGCAGUACUGAAAUUAAAGCAGGCAUCGUGUUGCUGUUCCCCACCUGGUUCUUGGUGUGACUUUAAAAUACCCAAAGUGACUUUAUGAUGCAAUGACAUUGCUGUAAACCACUUUGCUGCAAGAGAAGCUGAAAGCCAAAUCCUGUGUCGGUGUCGCUUGGUGUAAAACACAGCAUGGUUUCACUCUGGUUUACUCCAGCUGAGGCUCUGACCUGCUGAUACCUCUGGGGGGCCCAGAGGCAUGGUGCAGGAGGCUGGGGUGUUUUGCAUGGUCAGGGGUUCUGGAAGGAGUAGAGAGGGUUUGCUUUGGCUGCUCUAGAAGGUUGGGAGUGUGAAGCAUAUCUGUAUGAGAGUGGCAGACACUGUCUUCAUGUAUUUCUGAUUUGAUGAAUGUUUAAUGCUUCUUUAUUGGAGCCUACACAUAUGUAGAGUAGAGGUCUUUAAGAAGGGGUUGACUUAUUUCAAAUAAUUUAUGUCUGAGCUUCUCCUUUUACAUGAAAUGCAGACUUUACAGAGACUGUAAUGAAAAUAUGAAUUAAAGAUUAGAGCUAAGCAAGUCUGAGAACACUUAGAAUUAAGAAAGACACAAGUUUUUUCCUCCUGCUUCCUUUCCUUUUCUCCACCUUUCCUAUAUCUCCGUCUCCUUUGGCUGGGUGCUGCAUUCCAGGGCAGCCUUCUGUCCCUCCCACAUGGGCACAGCUCUGAAGGGCAGCAGGGCAGUGAUUUCAGCCUGGCUGUUACUGUGUGGCCGUGCAGCACCCCAGCCUGUCACUUGCCAGCUCACCCAUCUCUUUGGCUGGAGACACUAAAAAGUGGGUUGAAGGUGUGUUUUCCUUCAUCUCUCUCCCUGAUUUGCUGGUGAACUGCAUCACCUGGGCAGAGCAAAGAUAAGUGCAGUUUUGAUGGAGCUGUUUGCCAGAGGGACCCUCAGUUUGGUGCAGCAGAGCCAGGUGAGGGUGCAAGGACUCGGUGUGCAGGUGGCAGUGGUGCUGCUGUGUGACAGGAUUCCUGUAGGACAGGGAAAGGCUGGGACAGUGCCAGCCAUCACAUAAGUCCCUGUUGUGCAAGGUGCUCUGCUGUCCACAAACAUCAGCAUCCAUCUCCUUCCCCCCUUUGGCCCACUCCAGCUGCCUUGCUCCUUGCUCUGCCUUUGCACGGGUGCCUUCAGCUGUCAGUGCAGGUCAGGGCACUGCUGCUGCAGCACAGGCUGCCCUGGGCUCCAGCCCUGCAGCACAGGCUGCAGAAGAGCUUGCCUGGUGCAGGGCUUCCUUUCUUGCUCUCCUUGUGCUGCUCUGAAUUGCUGCCCAAGACUGAAGAGCUUAGGCUUGGUCAUGAGCAAAUAAAAGCCUGGUGGGAACAGGAGAGGAUGUUGCUUUCUUUGCUGUGGCAGGUGAGGUUGGCCUGAGUCUUUGCAGCUCUGGCCAUGCUGAUGCAGCUCAGGGGUAGAGGGGUUGCCCAUGGGACCCUAUCAGCACUUCGUAGUGGGAGGUGAACUCCAGGAUGUCCAUGCUGCACUUGUACCCGCUUCUGGAAUAAUAAUCCCCUCAGGGAACUCAUGAGGAGUUCAAAGAAAAAGGAGUCAUUACAGAACAGUAUCACAACUGAUGUACCCCAGGUCCUAACCAUGCUUCCACCACAGCAGACUGGUGUAACUCCUCUUACAUCAACUAACCACAGUCUGCCCCAGUUACAGAUGUUUUGUGCCAGGUAGUGCUGGAAGGGAAGCAGUUUGUUAGAAUAAAUGGAGCAGGAGAUGGUGCUCCAAAAAGAGGAGUGCUGGUGUCCUGCCCAGGGAUCUGUUGGGAACAGUCUUCUUCUGUGAAGAAGAACACACAAAGUUCUCCGCAGGCUGCCAAAGUUCUGACUUUUUUCACUGCAGCUGCCUGAAAGUAUUUGAAGAAGAUGGGAAUAUGUUGGUCAGAAAAUGCUGACUCACUGAAAGCUCCCUGGGAAAAGGGCCAAUUACAGCAAACUCGCUGCUCCUAUGUUAGAAAGGUUUGGGAAAAAAAUGGAAGUGAUGAGAUGCCCCAGUUAAUGCUUUCAGAACAAACUCCCUCAAAUCUGGGAGGAUAAAAGGGUGGCGUGGUUUUAGAUGUAGAUCUUUAUUUUAUACUUUGGAAUAUUUCACUGGGGAAGACAGAAACAAAGGGGCUUUUUGCCUUAUU